CUGCUUCAGCAGCAUAUGCACUAAAAUUGGAAUGAUACAGAGAAGAUUAGCAUGGCCCCUGAGCAAGGAUGACAUACACAUUUGCGAAGUGUUCCAGAAAAAA